UACGUAGGGGGCAAGCGUUGUCCGGCAUUAUUGGGCGUAAAGCGCGCGCAUGCGGUUCCUUAAGUAUGAUGUGAAAUCUCGGGGCUCAACCCCGAGCGGUCAUUGGAAACCGGGGAACUUGAGUACAGAAGAGGAGAGUGGAAUUCCACGUGUAGCGGUGAAAUGCGUAGAUAUGUGGAGGAACACCAGUGGCGAAGGCGACUCUCUUGUCUGUAACUGACGCUGAGGCGCGAAAGCGUGGGGAGCGAACAGG
rnacentral:misc_RNA from 1 species